GAAAUGCGAUAAGUAAUGUGAAUUGCAGAAUUUAGUGAAUCAUCGAAUCUUUGAACGCAUAUUGCGCCCACCAGUAUUCUGGCGGGCAUGCCUGUUCGAGCGUCAUUUCAACACUCAGGUCUUAGUCGCCUGGCGUUGGGGCGCUGCGGCCCGUAUCGUCCGCAGGCCCCCAAAUUUAGCGGCGGACCGGCCUCGGCCCUGAGCGUAGUAGUUUACAUAUACAUGCCUCGCUCCGGCGGCUGUGGCGCGAUCCUGCCCACCACCUUACUCUAAAAGUUGACCUCGGAUCAGGUAGGAUUACCCGCUGAACUUAA
rnacentral:misc_RNA from 1 species